rnacentral:rRNA from 1 species
AUUGAACGCUAGCGGGAUGCUUUACACAUGCAAGUCGAACGGCAGCGCGGACUUCGGUCUGGCGGCGAGUGGCGAACGGGUGAGUAAUGUAUCGGAACGUGCCCAGUAGCGGGGGAUAACUACGCGAAAGCGUAGCUAAUACCGCAUACGCCCUACGGGGGAAAGCAGGGGAUCGUAAGACCUUGCACUAUUGGAGCGGCCGAUAUCGGAUUAGCUAGUUGGUGAGGUAACGGCUCACCAAGGCGACGAUCCGUAGCUGGUUUGAGAGGACGACCAGCCACACUGGGACUGAGACACGGCACAGACUCCGACGGGCGGCAGAAGUGGGGAAGUGUGGCAGAUGUGGGCAACCCUGAUCCAGCCGUCCCGCGUGUACGCUGAAGGGCUUCGGGUUGUAAAGCACUUUUGGCAGGAAAGAAACGUCGCGGCAUAAUACAACGUGGAACUGACGGUACCUGCAGAAUAAGCACCGGCUAACUACGUG